AUUUCUUUCUUUUGAGCUGCAGCCACUCUGCAAGGAAAAAUCCAGUGAAAAAAAAUAUUAGGAUGUGAUCCUCAGAUUGAAUGUGACUAGAGAAGCUGGCUAUCUUCAAAAAAAUCUGAAAAUAAUUUUGUUCCCGGUUUCUCCUAAAGUUCCUGAAAAAAUCAAGAACGAAUCAAUAAAAGGAGAAAAAUACAGGACAAACUAAAGAGGAGGACUGAUGAGGUGUUUCAUUUUUAAAGGAAUUUCAAAGAUUUUGUCAAUAUAAUAACUUGACUGAUGAACAAGGAAAAAAAUAAACCCACCUGAACAUUUGUUUCACCAA